GUAACGCGUAUGCAACCUACCUAUCAGAGGGGAAUAACCCGGCGAAAGUCGGACUAAUACCGCAUAAAACAGGGACACCGCAUGGUGAUAUUUGUUAAAGAAAUUCGCUGAUAGAUGGGCAUGCGUUCCAUUAGGUAGUUGGUGAGGUAACGGCUCACCAAGCCGACGAUGGAUAGGGGAACUGAGAGGUUGGUCCCCCACACUGGUACUGAGACACGGACCAGACUCCUACGGGAGGCAGCAGUGAGGAAUAUUGGUCAAUGGGCGAGAGCCUGAACCAGCCAAGUCGCGUGGAAAAGGAAGAAGGAUCUAUGGUUCGUAAACUUCUUUUGCAGGGGAAUAAAGUGCAGGACGUGUCCUGUUUUGUAUGUACCCUGAGAAUAAGGAUCGGCUAACUCCGUGCCAGCAGCCGC
rnacentral:rRNA from 1 species